rnacentral:rRNA from 1 species
GCCCUCAAAAUAAUUUUCCUCAAAGAUAUUUUUUUUUUUAAAUUAAAUUUUUAGGCUAAGCAGGGUUAGGCCUGGAUAGUACUUGGUUGGGAGACUGCCCGAGAAUACCGGGUGUUAUAGGCU